rnacentral:lncRNA from 1 species
AGCAGUGAGUAAAACAAACUAAGGGAGUAGGCUUCUAAUGUUAACAUGCAUGAAACCAAGGCUCUACGGUUACAGAAGUCAACAAAUGAGAGCACCUGGGGAGUGGAGCUAGGCACUGCAGGGCCUGGAUUAACCUCUACAUCACCAGAGGAACAGAGGAGAAGUAGGAUAAUGGUACGGCUAAAGGCUAUACAAACUGGCCGUCUAGCACGUUCGGAACAGAGAGUAAAAGGAGCAGGUUUCUGGGCACGAUAGCAUAGAUUCAAGGCAUAGUGUACAGACAAAGGUAAGGUAGGAUGUGAGUACAUUGGAGGUAAACCUAGGCAUUGAGUAAUGAAGAGAGAGAUAUAGUCUCUAGAGACGUUUAAACCAAGUGAUGUCAUCGCAUAUGUAGGAGGUGGAACAACAUGGUUGGUUAAGGCAUAUUGAGCAGGGCUAGAGGAUCCACAGUGAAAUAAGACAGUAAUCACUAACCAGGACAGUAAUGGACGAGGCAUAUUGAUAUUAGAGAGAGGCAUGCGUAGCCAAGUGAUCAUAUGGGUCCAGUGAGUGGUUGAGUAGGCUGGGGACACGGCGAUUCAGACAGUUAGCAGGCCGGGGCUAGCAAGCUAGCAUUAGCAGACCCGGGGCUAGCAAGCAAGCAGUUAGCAGACCGGGGCUAGCAAGCUAGCAGUUAGCAGACCGGGGCUAGCAAGUUAGCCAAAGGGCCUUUGGGGGACAUCGCGAUGGAGUUAAGUCUGUUUUUGCAUCUUCGUGCGGUGACGUCGACAGACCAGUCAUGGAUUAGUAGGGUUCCAAGUAGCUCUAGGUAGCUAGCAGUUAGCAGAAUGGGCCUUCAGCGGACGUCACGCCUGAGGGGCCUGUUGGAAUCCUCGGGCAGAUUAUGUCAGUAUUCUAGUCGUAGAGGAUGACAAAUGAGAUACAUA